rnacentral:rRNA from 1 species
CAAUAGCGUAUAUUUAAGUUGUUGCAGUUAAAAAGCUCGUAGUUGGAUUUUGGGUCGGGGGCACCGGUCCGCCGUUCCGGUGUGCACUGGUGGCCCCUUCCUUUCUGCCGGGGACGUGCGUCGCACUUAAUUGGGUGGCGUUCGGAGUCGGCGUUGUUACUUUGAAAAAAUUAGAGUGUUCAAAGCAAGCCAUCGCCCUGAAUACAUUAGCAUGGAAUAACAUGAUAGGACUCCGGUCUUAUUUUGUUGGUUUCCGAGACUGGAGUAAUGAUUAAGAGGGACAGUCGGGGGCAUCCGUAUUUCAUUGUCAGAGGUGAAAUUCUUGGAUUUAUGAAAGACGAACUUCUGCGAAAGCAUUUGCCAAGGAUGUUUUCAUUAA